AUAACAACCAGCGAUGGUGUUCGCUGUAAAUAUCUGACGAUUGAUGACACCUGCUUCUGA
rnacentral:ncRNA from 2 species